CAGUUUCGUGAGACCAAGUGGAUUGUCAAACUGAUGUCUUUUUCUCUUCAAAAAAAGAAAGUUUGCGUACAGCAAAAGUGCAUACUCUCCUUCUUCUCUCUCCGAUUUCUCAGCACUGGCGACCCAUCGAAAUU
ensembl:ncRNA C41C4.14 ncRNA